rnacentral:rRNA from 1 species
GACGAACGCUGGCGGCGUGCUUAACACAUGCAAGUCGAACGGAAAGGCCCUGCUUUUGUGGGGUGCUCGAGUGGCGAACGGGUGAGUAACACGUGAGUAACCUGCCCUUGACUUUGGGAUAACUUCAGGAAACUGGGGCUAAUACCGGAUAGGAUCUCCUGCUGCAUGGUGGGGGUUGGAAAGUUUCGGCGGUUGGGGAUGGACUCGCGGCUUAUCAGCUUGUUGGUGGGGUAGUGGCUUACCAAGGCUUUGACGGGUAGCCGGCCUGAGAGGGUGACCGGCCACAUUGGGACUGAGAUACGGCGCAGACUCCUACGGGAGGCAGCAGUGGGGAAUAUUGCACAAUAGGCGGAAGCCUGAUGCAGCAACGCCGCGUGCGGGAUGACGGCCUUCGGGUUGUAAACCGCUUUCGCCUGUGACGAAGCGUGAGUGACGGUAAUGGGUAAAGAAGCACCGGCUAACUACGUG